rnacentral:rRNA from 1 species
UACGAAGGGGGCUAGCGUUGCUCGGAAUCACUGGGCGUAAAGCGCACGUAGGCGGAUUGUACAGUCAGGCGUGAAAUUCCCGGGCUCAACCUGGGGGCUGCGCUUGAUACUGGCGAUCUUGAGUUCGGGAGAGGUGAGUGGAACUGCGAGUGUAGAGGUGAAAUUCGUAGAUAUUCGCAAGAACACCAGUGGCGAAGGCGGCUCACUGGCCCGAUACUGACGCUGAGGUGCGAAAGCGUGGGGAGCAAACAGG